UCUCCGUUGUUGAACCAGCUGAGGGAUCAUUACAGAGAUUUUAACUCCCAAACCCAUGUGAACUUACCAUUGUUGCCUCGGUGGAGCCUACCCUGUAGCUACCCUGUAGGGUGGUUACCCUGUAGCGCCCCGCCGGUGGAUUUUCAAACUCUUGUUAUUUUUAGUAAUCUGAGCGUCUUAUUUUAAAUAAGUCAAAACUUUCAACAACGGAUCUCUUGGUUCUGGCAUCGAUGAAAACGCAGC
rnacentral:misc_RNA from 1 species